rnacentral:tRNA from 1 species
GUCGUCGUGGCCGAGUGGUUAAGGCGACAGACUAGAAAUCUGUUGGGCUCUGCCCGCACAGUUUCAAAUCCUGUCGGCGACG